rnacentral:rRNA from 1 species
GAGUUUGAUCAUGGCUCAGAUUGAACGCUGGCGGCAUGCCUUACACAUGCAAGUCGAACGGCAGCAUGAUCUAGCUUGCUAGAUUGAUGGCGAGUGGCGAACGGGUGAGUAAUACAUCGGAACGUGCCCUGUAGUGGGGGAUAACUAGUCGAAAGAUUAGCUAAUGCCGCAUACGACCUGAGGGUGAAAGUGGGGGACCGCAAGGCCUCAUGCUAUAGGAGCGGCCGAUGUCUGAUUAGCUAGUUGGUGGGGUAAAGGCCCACCAAGGCGACGAUCAGUAGCUGGUCUGAGAGGACGAUCAGCCACACUGGGACUGAGACACGGCCCAGACUCCUACGGGAGGCAGGCAGUGGGGAAUUUUGGACAAUGGGCGAAAGCCUGAUCCAGCAAUGCCGCGUGUGUGAAG